CCUCCAGAGGGCUGUCGGCGCAGUAGCCGCGAGCAGCAGUGUCCGCGCACUCCGGCGAGGGGCAGAAGAGAGCGAGGGAGCGCGGGGCAGCAGGAGCGAGAGCCGAGCGCGGACGCAGCCGGAACCCACAGCCCUCCCCAGCGGUCCAGGCAGAGCCCCAGCCAUGGAACACCAGCUCCUGUGCUGCGAAGUGGAGGCCAUCCGCCGCGCCUACCCCGAUGCCAACCUCCUCAACCACCGGGUGCUGCGGGCCAUGCUGAAGGAGGAGGAGACCUGCGCACCCUCCGUGUCCUACUUCAAAUGUGUGCAGAAGGAGGUCCUGCCGUCCAGGCGGAAGAUCGUGGCCACCUGGAUGCUGGAGGUCUGCGAGGAGCAGAGUGCGAGGAGGAGGUCUUCCCGCUGGCCAUGAACUACCAGGACCGCUUCCUGUCGCUGGAGCCAGUGAAAAAGAGCCGCCUGCAGCUGCUGGGGGCCACCUGCAUGUUCCUCGCCUCUAAGAUGAAGGAGACCAUCCCCCUGACGGCCGAGAAGCUGUGCAUCUACACCGACAACUCCAUCCAACCCGAGGAGCUGCUGCAAAUGGAGCCGCUCCUGGUGAACAUGCUCAAGUGGAACCUGGCCGCCAUGACCCCGCACGAUUUCAUCGAACACUUCCUCUCCAAAAUGCCAGAGGCGGAGGAGAACAAACAGAUCAUCGGCAAACACGCGCAGACCUUCGUUGCCCUCUGCGCCACAGAUGUGAAGUUCAUUUCCUAUCCGCCCUCCAUGGUGGCGGCGGGAACCGUGGUGGCCGCAGUGCAAGGCCUGAACCUGGGGAGCCCCAACCACUUCCUGUCCUACUACCGCCUCACCUGCUUCCUCUCCAGAGUGAUCAAGUGUGACCCGGACUGCCUCAGGGCCUGCCAGGAGCAGAUCGAAGGCCUGCUGGAGUCGAGCCUGCGCCAGGCCCAGCAGAACCAGGACCCCAAGGCCUCUGAGGAGGAGGAAGAGGAGGAGGGGGAAGUGGACCUGGCCUGCACACCCACCGACGUGCAGGACGUGGACAUCUGAGGGCGCCGGCCCCAGGUGCUCCCGGACAACCCCUCCUCUCCGGGGCACUUUGAUACCAGAAGGGAAAGCUUCAUUCUCCUUGUUGGUUUUUUCCCUUUGCUCUUUCUCCCUUCCAUCUCUGACUUAAGCAGAAGAAAAAGAUUACCCAAAAACUGUCUUUAAAAGAGAGAGAGAAAAAAUAGUAUUUUGUAAGCCUGAGCAGCUGGGGACAGGAGAGUCGUGCUACAAAAAUAGAGGACUUUAUGCCCCAAUAAUCAACUAGUUUUUAUAUUAAUGUACUUGUUUUUCUGUUGUAAGGGUAGGUAUUAACACAAAGGAGAGGUCUCGGGAGAGGAUUAGGUUCGAUUCUUUGCGUGUUAAAAAAAAAAAAGCAUAAAAAACAUUUAAAAAAAAUAGAAAAAUUCAGCAAACCAUUUGUAAAGUAGAAGAAGGUUUUAGGUAGAAAAAGGUAUUCUUGUGCUUUUCCUGAAGAGCACAGCUGUAGUGCGGUUGUAGGCCUCUCUGUACCUUGCUUGCUCAUCUGCAUGUACUCACUUUACAAGUCAUUGUUUGUUAUUAUAUUCCGUAGGUAGAUGUAUAACCGCUUCACCUUAUCCAUGGCUGAAGUCACCUCUUGGUCACAGUAGCAUAGCGUGCCCGUAUGUUUGUGUCCUUUGUACCUGUGGCCACCACAGUGGAGGUUUGUCAGGCACCAGCCAGCAUGGCGGGUUCGGGAAAGGCCACCUGUCCCACUCCUACAAUACGCUACUGGAAAGAGAAGACGAAAUAGUGACAUAAUAUAUUCUAUUUUUAUACUCUUCCUGUUUUUGUAGGGACCUGUUUAGGAGGUGCUGGUUUUCUACCCAGCGGCCCUGCAGCCAGCUGACGUCCAGGUUCGAUCCACAGCUACUUGGUGGUUUUCUUUCUUCUCUGCAUUCUAAAACCAUUCCAUUUCCAAGCACUUUCAGUCCAAUAGUUGUAGGAAAGAGCGCUGUAUUUGUGUGUGGGGAGGGAGAGCAGGUUUCUAAUGGAAUGGUUUGGGAAUAUCUGUGUACUUGUGUGUGAGUAGGACUGCGAGGCAGGUGCAGGCCACCGUGGUGGCAGCGGAGGUGAGUGUUUGGGAGGCUGCGUGCCCGUCAGGAAGAAAAAGGUUUGCAUUCUCACAUCGCCAGGAUGAUAAGUUCCUUUCCUUUUUUUUUUUUUUCUCUCUCUGUCUCUUAAAGACGUUGAAGUUUAGGAAUCCUUUGGUGCCAACUGGGGUUUGAAAGUAGGGACCUAGGUUACCUAGAGAGCAGGUGGCUUAAGCGUUAUCUGAGAUGUUUCACACCAGAAGGCUUUUAAACACUAAAAUAUAUAAUUUAUAGUUAAGGCUAAAAAAGUAUAUUUAUUGCAGAGGAUGUUCAUAAGGCCAGUAUGAUUUAUAAAGCAAUGCAAUCUCCCCUUGAUUUACACACACACACACACACACACACACACAAACACACACACACACCCCUUCUGCCUUUGAUAUUGCAGGUAUAGUACAGUGUGUUUUAAAGCUAGUCCUUUUAUAGGUGAGAAAAACAGUCUGGAGGAAGACCACACACGGACAUUAACUCAGCCUGUUUGGGGUUUUCCACAGUCAUCUGAUUGAAAAUGUGUCACAAGGAAAAUUCGGGUACUUAACAUAAGUUCAGUUCCUAGAUCUUCUUAUCCCUUGCCCCUUCCUUUAGAAAAUACUUGGCGACAAAAUAGACAAUUUGCACAUCUUGGCUAUGGAAUUCUUGUACUUUUUAUUAAAAAAUAGGAAGUUUUUUUUGUUUUUGAGACGGAGUUUCGCUCUUGUUACCCAGGCUGGAGUGCAAUGGCGCGAUCUCGGCUCACCGCAACCUCCGCCUCCUGGGUUCAGGCAAUUCUCCUGCCUCAGCCUCCCGAGUAGCUGGGAUUGCAGGCAGCGCCACCAUGCCCAGCUAGUUUUUUUUAUUUUUAGUAGAGAUGGGGUUUCACCAUGUUGACCAGGAUGGUCUCGAUCUCUUAACCUUGUGAUCCACCUGCCUCGGCCUCCCAAAGUGCUGGGAUUACAGGCUUGAACCACCGCAACUGGCCUAUUUAGGAAGGGUGGUGGCCAGAGGGUGGAGGCUGAUGUGUGAAGGAAGAUGGGUGGGAGGAGUGGGGAGGAGGCUCCUGACCAGCCGGUCGGUGCCCACGCCAGGGACAGGCUGCAGCUCCGUUUUCUUUCUGCGCUGCUACCUUUGACUUCCAGGCACAGUUUGGAAACAUUCACAUCGCUUCUCUGUAUCUCUUUCACAUGGUUGGCUGCUACUGGAGGAUCUGUUUUUUGUUUUACAAUGUCAUAUACUGCCAUGUACUAGUUUUAAUUUUCUCUUAGAACACUGUAUUACGGAUGCCUUUUCUGUAUUUUUAUUUAUGUGUUCAAUUUUGACUUAAUGUGAUUACUGCUCUAUUCCAAAAAGGUUCCUCAUGCUUCACUUAGCCAUGGUGGACCCAGCUGGUAGGUUCUGUCUGCUUCCGCACGCAGACACGUGGGCGCAAUCCUGCACCGGUGUCCCCAGAGACCGGGCUGUGUUCAUCUUCUCUUCCCUGCGCCUGUGAUACUGGGCUCUUCAUCGGAUUGUAGCGUCCUCGUAGUUUUUACAGCUGUGUCAUUCUUUGCGUGUAGCUAUGGAAGUUGCAUAAGUAUUAUUAUUAUUGUAACAAGUGUGUCUUACGUGCCGCCAUGGUGCUGCGCCCGUAGGACUCUGCUUCGGGAUGAUUGGAAUAUCUUCUGGAAUUUGUUCAAGUUUUGGGUGUGUUUAACCUGUUAUGUACUAGUGUUCUGUUUGUUAUUGUUUUGUUAAUUACAGCACAGUGCUGAUUUAAAAA